AUCAGGUUGUUUCUGUAGGGCACUUUCUUUUCUUUGGCUAUAACUAUGACUUGCUCAUGUGGUAGCAUGAUAUAUUCUAUGGAAAGAUGCUUUAUUCUACAGCUCUUUUAUUUGCUCAAAUAAACUUUGAAGGAGAGCAGACUGAAAAUUACUAAUGCAGAGAAUGUGGAAAGAAGCAAAAAGAAAUAUCAGAGAUGAACUCAAUUAUCUUCAUGAAAGUACUUGAUACUAAAUGAAAUACUUUGAAGUACAGAAGCCAAGAGAUAAGGGAUUAAUCAAGAAAUCACUGAAGAGGAUGCCUGUCAUGGCUGGACGGGAAACUACACAAAAAAAAUCCUUCCCUUGUAACUUGGAAGUGUUUUGAAGCAGGCUUUCUUGACACCUUCACCUUAGACAGUAACAAAAUACAAGUUGACAUUUAUGGUUAAUAAAUGAUCCAGAUAGCAGCUAACAAAUUUUUUUGUGUCCCUGAAUUUCUCAGGUUCAAUAUGGUUAUGUGUAAUAGUGAAAAAAAAAAAACAAACAGGUUUGAGAUGACAUAAUCUGUAGUCUACAAUAAUCAUCCUCUAAAUGUGAGAAAUUUGAAAGUCUGGCAUUACUUUUUUAUAAACAAGGGCUUAAUAGUUUCCAAAAAACCUAUAAAAUCAUAAAGCAGAUAAUUUGCUCUUGUCUCCUAGGGAGUUCAUCUUGUUUAGCAUCACUUAACUUACCUAUGAUAUCUCAGGACAGGACUCUGAGGAGUUUCCUUGCUUGUUUAAG
rnacentral:lncRNA from 1 species